GCAUGAAUGGAUGAACGAGAUUCCCACUGUCCCUACCUAAUAUCCAGCAAAACCACAGCCAAGGGAAUGGGGAAAGAAGACCCUGUUGAGCUUGACUCUAGUCUGGCACAGUGAAGAGACAUGAGAGGUGUAGAAUAAGUAGGAAGACUCCAGCAUCCCACACACACACACUUCUUGUGAGGAGCACUGAUACAUGACCCUGAACCUUAAACCCCUAAACCUUUGCCCUAACCCUAAGCCUAACCCUAAUCCUGCCAUUCCCCUUUCUGUGCCCCAACAUGUGACAAGUCCAUCCCAAAACCAAUGUGUCACGUGAUGAGUCUGAAAGUCUUUCUCAACCUCUCUCUGUCUCCAUCAAGUUCUAGAUCUUCCAUUCUGGCUGGGUUCGCUGCUGCCUCCUCCAGUGGCCAGAAGAUGUAAUAGCCAUGGUAUCAGCAUAAUCUGGACAGUGACAGAGUUUUUAAAAGAGAGAAUCACAAAAGAUUUCCUGUUGGAAACAAUUUGCUCAAAUCCUUCAUUCAUUUUCAAUAGGUUGACACCUGUAUCCUGCUUCUUUGGGUCAGCAAGUUUUGAUUUUUCUCAAUCUAUAAGUACUACAACUCAUCCUGCUUUUAUCAUGGGAAUGUACCUUGAGUAAUCUUCCAUUUUCCUGGAUCAAAUACAGGGCCUUAGUAAAAGGAAGUGCUGGGC
rnacentral:ncRNA from 1 species